rnacentral:ncRNA from 2 species
GCUUCGAGGAGCGCUGCGACUUGCGUGGUUUGCAAGCCAGGCUCGGAGCAUUCGACAGGAACGGCGCUCACCCACU